AUUAUGCACUGGGGGAGCUGUUAAGCUGAGAAAGACAUUCUGUAUUGACCCUUGGCACCCGAACUAGAUAAUCCUAGCGUGGGGAAUGUGCAGUCGUUAAGGA
rnacentral:ncRNA from 1 species